rnacentral:misc_RNA from 1 species
UCCAUGGCUUUCCGUUUUGGUCCACUGAAUGGCGAAAAAUCUGAAACCCCACUUGAGGAUUUUUGGUUUCUGUCUCUCUAGGGUUACCCAUUACCUCAAAUGUGUUAGCGAGAGACAGUUGAGAAGUAGCAGGUGGAGGCAAAAAAUUUAUAUCUUGAUACCCACUGAAACCUUUAUUGUCACUCCUUACGUGUUGAAGACUCAUUUUGACCAAAAAGAAACCAGAAAAAGCCAGAGAGGAAGAUGAAGUAAAACAGAACUUGAAAACCCCAAAGCCCUCCUUUCUAUAAUGCCUCACAAGCAGAGUAAGGGACAGAGAAGAAAAGAACUGGGAAUUUUUCAAUAGAGAGAGAGGAGAAGAGUGAUCAACUGAUUAGAAAAUAGAGAGGCUGAUUUGCAUUUUCUCUUACCUCCUCUCUCUCAAAAACCAUUAUAAAAGGGGACAAGAGAGAAAGGAGGAAACUUGCUUAGUUUUUGUGAGGCAGAAAAGAGAAUAAACAGAGGGAGGAAACAAUCAAACAAUAAAAAUGAAGAAGUUUGUUUAAAAAAGAAACAGAAUGGAGUUUGAAAGUGUUUGUUGAAUGACAAAGGAAGAGAGUAAGCAAGCAAGUAGCAGCAAUAACAAAAAAGAAAAGAAGAACCCACACGAUUCUCCCUUUUCUUUCACUCUUUAUACGUAAAUUUGCAAAGACAGUGUGAGAGAGAAAUGAGGUCAG